GAUAGUGAUCAGAAGGGAUGGUACAGAUCAGAAAGAAAGGGGAGAGAUAUAAUGAGAAAUGGGAAACAAGAGGAAUUAGAAAAGAAACAUAGAAAUUGGGGAGAAAGCCAUCUUUAUUAUCAAUUCGUAUUUCAACCCAAUAUGAGGAAGUCUUCAGUCUUAUUUAGACUAGGAAGGAAAUAAAACAAAUUAGGAAAAAAAAUUAAGUCUAAAGAUGUAACAUUAAACCUUCGAGGGUCUUGGUUGUCCUGCAUCUUUAAGCUUCUAGUGGUUCAGAGGGAUUUUCUACAGAUGCAAAUGGUUUGGAUAACAUUUUUGCAUCAAUAAAAGAUCUUGAUGUCACCCCAGAAAUGAUUAGGGAAUUUCUUUCUAAAGUUGACUGGAAUCAGUUAGCUUCCAUGUAUGUUGAGGGUUGUUCUGGUGGAGAAUUUGAAGCACAGUGGUUGAAUUUUGAAGAUGCCCUUAUUAAUCACAAUCCAAGGACUGUCGAAGAGUGUUGAUGCAGUGAUAUUUUGCUGGAAAUGCAACAAAAUUUCAG